rfam:Candidatus Wildermuthbacteria bacterium RIFCSPHIGHO2_01_FTLL_48_27b rifcsphigho2_01_scaffold_24039, whole genome shotgun sequence.
GGAGGAAGUUAGGCAAUCGCCCCGCCAGCUUGCGAAGCUUGCGGCGGGGAGGAAAGUCCGAACACUCCCAGGUGCCAUACGGCACCUGGUCAACUACUCCGGGUAACGCCCGGCCGCCGAAAGGUGAGCGGUGCGAACAGAGACGAGCCCGCCAACAGCUACGCAGUUGCUGGCGGGGUGAAACGGCUAAAUCCGUGUAGGGUGCAAGAGUAAACCAGAAGGACUGCUUUCAUGUGGUACUUCUGUGAAAAGUGACUCGCUAUUGCCCUGAGAGAAAUCGAAGGGCUUGAUCCUUCCUGGUAACAGGUUGGACAGAUAGAUGAUUGCCCUCGACAGAAUUCGGCUUAUAGGCUUCCUCCGACA